GAUGAACGCUGGCGGCGUGCCUAAUACAUGCAAGUCGAGCGAACGGACGAGAAGCUUGCUUCUCUGAUGUUAGCGGCGGACGGGUGAGUAACACGUGGAUAACCUACCUAUAAGACUGGGAUAACUUCGGGAAACCGGAGCUAAUACCGGAUAAUAUUUUGAACCGCAUGGUUCAAAAGUGAAAGACGGUCUUGCUGUCACUUAUAGAUGGAUCCGCGCUGCAUUAGCUAGUUGGUAAGGUAACGGCUUACCAAGGCAACGAUGCAUAGCCGACCUGAGAGGGGGCUGGGCCACGAGGGAAUGGGAACGCGGAACAGACCCCUAGGGGGGGGAGGAGGGGGAAGUUUGACGAAAUGGGGAAAAGCGUGACGGAGCAGCGCCGCGAGAGUGAUAGAGUUCUGCGGUUGGUAAAACUUUGUUAUUGGAAAAAAAGAUAUCUGUAAAUAACUGUGCAGAACUAGGCGGUACCAAAACAGAAAGCCACCUCUAACUGCG
rnacentral:rRNA from 1 species